rnacentral:RNase_P_RNA from 1 species
GAGGAAAGUCCGGGCUCCACAGGGCAUGGUGCUGGAUAACGUCCAGCGAGGGUGACCUCAGGGAAAGUGCCACAGAGAGAAGUCCGCCGUCCAAAACUGAAGCCAAGGGGGCCUGCCCCCCGAAGCUUUAGCGAAGGGGGGUAAGGGUGAAAGGGUGAGGUAAGAGCUCACCGGGUUCGGCGGCGACGCCGGAUGCCAGGUAAACCCCACCAGGAGCAAGACCAAAUAGGGAAGCGUUAAGGACGGCCCGUCCGUGCUUCCGGGUUGGUUGCUUGAGGGCGUCGGUAACGGCGCUCCUAGAUGAAUGACCAUCGCCCGCCUCCGGGUAACCGGCUGCGGGAACAGAACCCGGCUUA